rnacentral:lncRNA from 1 species
UUUACCACAGCACACAAUAGUCUACAGACAAGAGAUAAGGCUGGAUCACAAAUGCGCUGCUGCUGCUGGCUGCAGCUUCAAACACCUUGAAUCUCUGAUACCUUUCCACAGAUGCACCUCCGGAGUGUUCUGUCUGAGGUCAGCUUUACUCAGCCAGCUGGAACAGCUGUCCCGGCAUUUGUUUCACUAGAGAAACACUGAUCGCCUCAGAUGUACCUUGCAGGUCCUGUCAGCUCGGUGAGAAACAUGCUGAGCGAGCACAUGCACAGGAGGUUGUUUGGCAGGGUGUUUUACAUUCCCAAUACUGCAGCACUUAAAAUUUAUACUAACCAGAUCUCUGUAGUAUAUUAUUAUUUUUGAGGGCUAGAUCUGUUUUGUAUCUCAUGGUCAUUUUGUGCUUAUCAACUAUUCAUGUUAGAAGUUUGUUGUCAGAUGAGAGCUGCAGCAUCUAUCUGCUAACUGACCCAUGAAGAUCUUGAUCCUUUGGCUGCAAUAUGGUCCAGACUUUAUGGUGCCAGUUACACAAGAUGAGCAUUGUUUUGUGAGCCAGUCAGCAGAAACUGCUAUUAAAAGAUGCAACUGUGCCAACUAUAUUGGAUCCGCCAGCAAUCCCACGACCUGUCUGCCUAGGCGGUGGAAGGAAAGGCAAGAAGUCUCCUUUUAUUUUCUCUUCCCAUAUUGUUUUUCAGGCUCUAAAUGCAUUUGAUGCUCUUCAAUAUGGUCACCCAAGUAUCUGCAAUAAAAGCAGUACAGUGGCUAAGAAAUAACAGCUUUAGUUUGCAUUACGACCUGUGCACCAGAAUGAUGAAACCUGUUAUUGCAUGUCACGACCUCUGCAGUGCAUAAGGUAAUGGAAGACAGAAUGUUAUUUUUAAGCCACGCAGGGCAAGCGUUUAUGUAGCGUAAUGUAUUCGGUGCAAGAUUUUAGGGAAUGGUGGUUGAAUGAAGGGUUGAAUAGCUAUGAUUGAGUAAACACCAUUUGAUGUGCGGCGUUUGUCAGAUGCCAAGUCAGCAUAAGAAUAGAUGAAUGCUUAUUUCUGCUUCAGAAUGAAAUUUCCAGGUGUCUGAGCAACCUGAAUAAAUGUUCAAGGAACAGUUCACUCAAAAAUGAAAGUUCUGUCAUAUUUACUCACCCUCAUGUUGCUGUAAACCUGGUGUCUUUCUUCUGUGGAACAUGAACAGAGAAAUCUGGUCAUUCUUUUUAAUGCAGUUGGGAGUUUUUAGAUUCAAAAAUUCAAACGCACCAUAAAAGAAUCAUAUAAUAUGAUUCUAUGCCCUAUAUUGCAAGUCUUCUGAGGUCAAACAAUAGUUUGUGUCAGGAACAGACAUAUUUUAAACUAGAAUACAUAUAAUAUGAUUCUAUGCCCUAUAUUGCAAGUCUUCUGAGGUCAAACAAUAGUUUUGUGUCAGGAACAGACAUAUUUUAAACUAUUAUUAUUCACAGUGUUUUGUUAGCAGUUUGAACAAGAUCAUUGAGUCAGUUGGUUUUGAACUUGAGAACAGGAUUGGUCCAAUUCAUAAAUGACAGGUUUUCUGAACCACGACAGCCAAGAAGAUUCAGUUCAACAGAAUGAGGCAGUUAAAAUUUCUCUUACUAUUGCUUUCUGCUUUGUAACUUAAUCAAAUUUGUUCAUGAGUGAUGCAUUUUGCAAAACUGAAGUAACUUAAAUUGAAUGACACUAAUUUCAUCAGUAGGGCAGUUUAUAGUUGAUUUGAAUUUGUUUCAUAAAUAAUGAACUUUACACGGCUAUUGAACUGAACUGAAACAACGCUGAACUGACUGGAGCUGAAUAAUGACACCACUGUGUUUUUAGAGCUCCUUUACAGAAGAAUUAGUAUUUGUCUUAUAUGUGAAGUUUGUUACUUUUAUGUUUAAUAUCAUGAAGCUGCUUCCAAACAAUCUCUAUUGUAUAAAGCACUAUAAAAAUAAUGGUGACUUGACUUGACUUUGGUUUUGCAUUGAUGAAAGGAAUGUAUACAGGUUUGGAUUGACAUGAUGGUGAGUAAAUAAUGAACUUUGCCUCUAAGAUAAAUAAAAACAAUGCUACUGUCAGAUUUGUUUACUAGGCUGACCAGUGUUCAUGUUUUAUUUCCUUAGUGGUGAAGCAUUUAUAAAAUACAUCUCCCACUUGUAGGAAAAACAGAAAGUAGACUGCUUUACAGGUAAGAAAUACAAUAUAUUAAAACCUUAAAUGAAACAUUUCCAACCAAGUUGAUAUGAUUUUAAUUGAUCUACAUUCAAAUUUCCAACAAAUGAUUGUCUGUGUGUAGAACUGGACAGAAAAACUGAUCAUGACUUUUUGGACUGAACCAUCAUAUCUCUCAACCACUCAAAGACGUCUGGCUCUGCCCAGGGUCUGCUGUGAAGCCAAAUUCAGUGUUUGAGCACCGCAGCUGUGUAGCAUAGAUAGCUUGCUGUCAAAAGCUGUUUUCAAGAGAGAGACAAUUAUGCUCAAUCAGAGAUGAUGCUUUACUGAGUGUUUUCCUCGCUCUCAUGCGCCUCUGAUUUGGUUUACGAGAGAAUGUGACUGAUGGCGAUCUUCCAGAGGUGUUGAGCGAGUGGGGUUUCAAAAUUGCAACAGCAGCCAAUUAUGGAACAGACAGAGCACAUGCUCAUUAAAUUUGCACAAGAAUCUCUGCAUUUUGAAACCAUUAGCUCUGAAACCUCAUUCCCAAUUUCAGAUGAGCGUCCUGAUAAUAGAAGUAGUGGUGUAAAGCAUUAUGGAAAUUCUGUGUCCCAGCAGCUGUGAACAGUUGAGAGUGCAGUGAUCAUGUUGAUACACCAGCAAUUGAGGCUGAAAUUCAGUUUGUUUGUUUUCUGUGCUGCAUGGUGCCCAUUGACAGCACUCUGAAGUGCACUAGCUCAUGUUCAAAUAAAACUAUUUUUCUUUAAAGGGAAAUCUUUGUUUGUGUUCAGCAGAAGAAAGAAAUUCAUACAUUUUGGGAACAACUUAAAUGUAAAAUUAUGUUUAAAUGCAGCUAUCCCAGAAUUUUUAUUUUUUGAGUGAACUAUCUCUUUAAGGCCCAUUCACACCAAGAAUGAUAACUAACAAUAACCAUAAUGAUAAACAUAUUAAUUCCCACACCAACAAACAAUAACAUUAUUUUUAUUCUAAACGCACACUUCAGUUGUGUUCAAUUGCACUGCAAUGCCAGAGAUUUGGUUUUUCUCUGUUUUAGCUGUAGUCUGGACUCUGAAAUUUACAUCAAUUUUAACUUUAUUUUAUAGUUAUCAUUAUAUUUAGCAUUUUGGUGUGUUUGCAGUUGUAACCAGAGAUUUGGUUUUUUCUCUGUUUUAGUCUGUAGUCUGGACUCUGAAAUUUACAUCAAUUUUAACUUUAUUUUUAUAGUUAUCAUUAUAUUUAGCAUUUUUGGUGUGUUUGCAGUUGUAAGUUUUAAUGUUUAUGUGUUUUGUUCAAUAAUCAGACUACACUGGUCCCACAUUAUGUGUUGGCUAAAAAGAGCUGAUUCAUUACAGUCAUUCCUUUGGAAAUUGGAUUACACUGGUAAAGCAGCAGUGUGUUUUUGAUUCAAUAAAAAGAACCAAAUUAUUCUUAAAUGAAUCAGACUGCUGGUCUCCGUGUAUGUGAUUGAUUCAAUAAAAAAGAAUCAUUAGAAUCAUUCUUUUGGGAAUCAGACUACACUGGUUGUGCUGUAUGGUUUUGAUUCCUUAAAAACAACUAACUCAUAAGACUCAAUAGUUCAGGAGUUGGAGUGCAUUGCUUUUGGUGUAGUUGUCUUUGGCUUACAUUGUGCACUUUUUGAAUGAUGCAUGCUAUGCAGAGCAUUUCAAAUGAGCUUCCAUUUCAGUUAAGAUGCUGUCAGCUCAUUAGGUUUUGGAACAGAGCUGAAAAAACAGCAAGAACGCCCUGUUUUGUAGCACAAGUUUCAAGGAAAAGUGAAAUUUUUCCUUGCUCAGCAGAGAAAAAGGUUUCAUUUGCACUCCACAGUGACAGCGACUGUAGAUAAGCACUAUCACACUCACCUCGCAGAGAACCGCAUGUUUCCAUUUUAGAUUUUGAUUUAAUCCUAAAAUCCUUGUUCCAAAAUCUGUAUUUUUCAAACCCAACAGUGAGGCUGUGAAUUUUAAUUAAGAUCUUCAAGCAGAGCCAGAUAUGAAGAUUGAUGAUACCAUCAGCUAUAGCAUGUCUGUGAAGAAUGAGAUGUAUUUCUAGUUACUAAUAUGCACACUACGGUGAAUUAUUAAGAUCGUGUUUCUGCUCCUCGCGCAUUCAUAAUAAUGUUCCGUCACACAUUAUAGUUAUCCAGCCUCAUUCGAUGCAAAUUAUUAUUGCUGCAAUAUAUUAGCACAAACAUCAACACAUUUUUUGGCUUAUUAUUUGUGACCCAGCAGAGUGACAUUUCCUGUUGUGAGUGGGUUGAGCAUCAUAUUAGAUCAAUAACACACAGCCAUGUGUGUGGGCUCACAAAACUCACCCCCACACCAUGUGAAAGUGGGAGGCGAGACCCCUCAAAAGACUCAUCUGUCUCUUGACUCCACUACACUGUCGUACCGUAUUUCCUCUCUCUAAGGAAUACCGUCAUAUGCCAGGAUCAAAUGGCAUUCUGUCAGCAACCUGCCAUGCAUUUCUAGCUUUCCAAAAAUCCUUAUUCUCCACAGCAGGAUUUGUGCAAAAGAACAGUAAAAACAGGCUAUUGCCAGGCUAGUAAUAAAACUGGAAAAUAUCAGUUGUAAAGGUGAUAAUUGCAUUUUACACUUUCUAUGCUCAGAACAAUCCAUCUAUUGUAUUAAUUUCUAUUUAUAUUGUGAAAAUGGUCUCUCGAGGAAUUGUUGUUUUGAUUUACUAGAAUGUGUUUUGUGUGCCAAACUCUGUAAGAUCUCAUGAUUUUGAACUCCCACUUAAGUGUGUGAACUCAACGCACUGCCGCUUUGCAUUGUUUCUCUUAUAAAGCACCGCGUCACUGAAUCUUUUGUUGGAGCCGUAAACUGCAUCUUUUGUACUAGGCCAAUCAAUGCUGUAUUUCUG